GUUAAUUAAAACAUAGAAUAAAUACAUAGGAAGAAUCAUUAUUUAUUCUUCAAUGUAAAAAGUAUAAAAGAUCACCCUUAUUUAAUCAAAUUUAGUACUUUGGUCACCAAAACUAGUGUUAGUGUUUCUCCAUUUUAUUCUUGGUUUUUUGGUUAUAGCUAUUAUUCUCAAUAUUAAUAACAAUUACAUUUGAUCUAUGCUGAAUUAAAUGUUUUAUCUUAUAAUUAAAAAAAAUAACAUGACAACUAUAGAAAAUAAUCAAACUGUGUGAAGCACCUCUUACUAAUUUACAAAAAAAAGAAAAAAAAAGAAGAAAAAAACCAUGUCACCAACUUAAAUACUAUAUAUAUAUACUAU
rnacentral:lncRNA from 1 species